CACUCAGUAUAACCUCUGAGGGCUUCAUCCUCUUUGUUAUGUGUAUCAGUAAAGCAGUGGUGUGCUGAAGCUGGCUCAAACCAACUUGCAAUUGUGUGCCUUUCUUUACAAUUCUGUAUUCUGUGACUUCAUGCUUAUAACUCAAACUUGUAUUUGUACUGCAAAAAUCAGAAAACACUACCAAUCAGGACUUUUUUCCUCCAGCCAGUUGUUAAAUUUUUUUUUAAUGAGGCUAACACAACAUUUUAAGUCAACCAUACUCCAAUAAAAUUUAAAAAAAUAAAUAUUUUUGAGCAUAUCACUGUGGUAAGUUUGCUCCUUUUUAUUGUUGUGUAGUAUUCCAUUACAUGACUAUACCAUAAGUUUCUUAUUCACUAACUUGUUAAUGGACAUUUUUGUUAUUUCCAGUUUUUAACUAUUAUUAAUAAAGCUCCUGUGAGCAUUCUUGUACAUGUCUUUUUAAUAACAUAUUUAUUUCUUUUGGGCAUGUACUUGGAAAUGUAGUCGCUGGGUCAUGGGGUAGGUAGAUAUUUUGCUUAGGAGGUACUUCCAAACAGUUUUCCAAAGGGAUUUUACCAGUUUAUUCUUCCACAAGCAAUGCAGUUGUUCCACAUUCUUGUUAACUCUUGGUUUGCCAAUCUUUUCAAUUUUGCCAUUUUGCUGGAUGUGUGAUGCUCUCUUUUGGUGGUUUAAGUUUGUUUGCUCUGAUGAGUAAUGAAUUUGGGCCCUGUUUCAUAUAUUAAUUGGCCAUUUGUAUGUUUUCUUUUAUAACCUAUCUGGUAACUUUUUUUUAAAAUUUAAUUUAAUUUUAUUUUCCCACUGUACAGCAAGGGGAUCAAAUUAUCCUUACGUGUAUACAUUUUCCCCCCACCCUUUGUUCUGUUGCAACAUGAGUUUCUAGACAUAGUUCUCAAUGCUACUCAGCAGGAUCUCCUUGUAAAUCUAUUCUAAGUUGUGUCUGAUAAGCCCAAGCUCCCGAUCCUUCCCGCUCCCUCCCUCUCCCAUCAGACAGCCACAAGUCUAUUUUCCAAGUCCAUGAUUUUCUUUUCUGUGGAGAUGUUCAUUUGUGCUGGAUGUUAGAUUCCAGUUAUAAGUGUAUCAUAUGGUAUUUGUCUUUGUCUUUCUGGCUCAUUUCACUCAAUAUGAGAUUCUCUAGUUCCAUCCCUAUCUGGUAACUUCUUUUGCUCAAUUUUAAAUUGCUUCUUAAAAGUACAUCCUGUAUAAAAGUCCAGUGUUGAAUGUUUGUAUUGUAGAACUCCUCCCCCUCUCUGUGAUCUGUCUUUUUCACUCUCUUAUUAAUGUCUUUUGAUGAACACAAAUGCUUAAGAUUAACUAAAUAUGGUUUAACAAUUUUUUCUUUGAUGGUUAGUGCGUUUUGCAUCUUGCUUAGUAAAUCUUUGCUUGCUCCAAAGUCAUGAAGAUUUCCUCCUGUCUUCAAAAAUCUUCAAAAUAUUUUUUGUAUUUUUACCUUUUAUAUAUUUGUCUAUGAUAAACUCUAAUUAAUUUUUGUAUAUAGUAUGAAAUAGCCAUCAGGGUUGAUUUUUUUUUUUUCCCAUAUGAAUGUCUAAUUGCUCCAGCACUAUUUACUGAAAAUUUCAUCUUUUCCUUACAGAAUUUCAGUGCCACUUUGGGGGUAAAUCAUUUGAUUGUAUAGAGUAGAUUUAAAUACAAUUUUGUUUUUUGUUCUGUUGGUCCAGUGUUACACAGUCUCAUUUACUAUAGCUUUAUAAUACCCAAAUUUGCUCUAUUUCGAGAUUCUCUAAGUCCUUUUUAAAUUUCCAUACAAAUUUUAGAUUCACUCAUCAAUUAAAAAAAAAGACCCUCCUGGGAUUUGGCUUUGUAUUUCAUUGAAUUUAUAGAUAAAUCUGGGGGAGAAUUGAAAUGUCAGUGAUCUUGAAUUCUUCCGAUCUAUUGACAUGUUGUAUCUCUCAAUUUAUUUAGGUCUUUAAUUUCUCUUUAAUAUUUUGUAGUUCUCAGUGUAGUGGUCAUACACAUUUUUUUGGUAGAUACAUUUCUAAUUAUUUCAUUUUUGAAUAUUGUAUGGAGUACUUUAAAAAAUUCAUUUAUCAGUUGUUUUUUGUUAGGUCACAGAGAUACAAUUAAUUUGUGUAUAUCGAUACCGUUUUUAGUGACUUAUAAAUUCACUUAUUAAUUCUCGCAGUUUGCAGAUUAUUUUGGCUUUUCCAUGUUUAUAGUCAUGUUUUCUGCAAAUAAAAACAGAGGGUCCCCCCCUUCUUUUCCAAUCCCUAUACCUUUUCCUUCCUUUCCUUUCCUAUUGCACUUGACUAGGGCCUCCAGAACAAUGUUGAAAAUACUUGAUGAUGAUGCUUAUUUUUGUCCUUAAGACAUUAUUGGUUUAUAUCACUGAGGGAGGUGGGGCAAUUGGCAUCUAGAGGCCAGUGCCACUGGCCAGAGAUGCUGCUAAACACCCUACAAUGAACGCGCCAUAUUCCCACAACAAAGGAUUUUCCUCCUCCAAAAGUCAACAAUGCUGCGUUGAGAAACCCUGGUAUGAGGGAAAGUAGAUUAACAUCUCAUAAACCUUAGGGCAUGGGUGCUGAUCUUCAUAACCUGACCUUGAAUAAUUAGGAAAACAUUAGAUUAUCACCCUCACACUCUAAAAUAUAAUGCAUUCUUGAAAGAUUUAUGUAAAAAUGGUUAACAUUUGCUAUGACUUGGGGCUUAAAAGCAUGUUUCAAUUGUCUAAAAAUUAAUUUAUGUGGAAGAUCUCAUUUCCAAAUAGUGCCAAAUGCAAGAAAUAUUACAGAAAGGCAGGACCUCUUUACAAUUUUUAUAUUGUUCAACAAUAAUUUUAAAAACAUUUCUGGCUUACUGGUUUGAUAUUUGCACAGAGAGAGUAUUUUUUUAAAAAAGUUCUAAAACAAACUGUGGUUUGGACUUCAGAGCCCCAGUGAACAUUCUUCCUCUCUAUAGAGACUUUUACACAGUCGUGGGCCUGGACCUCAGCAGCAUCUGGCUGUCAGCUGGGAGCUCAUUCAGAAGAGGCUUGUACUGCAGACCUGUCAUCCCUGUCACCUUCAGGGCUGGGGCACUCUCAGUGGAGGCGUGGAAGAGCCAUCUAAACUUGGUGUAAUUGGAGCAGGUUUCUAGCAUUCAUUUUGAUGGGGUGGAGUCGGGGAGGGAAGGUGAUAAGGAAGGAAAUUAUGCAGAAGUUCAAGAAAGGAUAAAUUAUGCUGAAAAUCAAAUGAAUACGUGACAACAUCUGAAAAUUGACUGAAAAAAGGCAACCACUAAAAGUGCAUCUGAGGAAGAGAAAACAGGACCCAGAUUGCCAUGGACCUGGAAAGGUCAAGAGACCAGAGAGAAAGUUCUAUUUUAAAAAAAGACCCUGUGGUCAUGCACCAGGAAGCAAACAAACUUGGCUUGGUUUCCUGACCAAGAAAUCUCUCUUUGUGUUUCAGUAUGUUUUCUGGGUUAUGAAAUAUGUACAGGAAGGAAGCCCCAAAGAGCCAGAAAUUCCAGUGGUAAGGAAAGAUGGCACUGCUGUGGCAGGAUCCAGAAGGUGCAGAGUUGAGUGGCGAUCAUCUCUGUAGCUAACAUCUGUUAGGCAGAAAUAAGCAACCAUCUGUUAGGCAGAAAUAUGCAAAUUUCAUUGCUUCUUUGAUCACUGCAUUCCAUUCAUCUCCUCGAUGAAAUAUUUUCUAGAAUCCUGGAUCGUAAUAUCACCAAAUGGCCAAUGACACUGGCUUGUGAUGUGGCAUGUGUUUAUUCCUCUGUGUGUUUAUAACAUAACACUGUAUGAUAGCCGCAUCAGCAUCACUGGUUAUAUAAAUCACACUAUCAUCACUGUCUCCAAUCAGCAGAGCCAAUUAUAGUUCUCCCUGUCCCUCUGAAGAAUGAAGUCUCUUAACAUUAUUCUUGGACCUCAGUAUCCUCAUCUAAGUCAGGGAGGAAUGAAUAUGUAAGUCAAUCUUAAGAUCCAAAGUGAGCCUAUCAUGUCCCAUCUCCAGGGGCGAAGGAGUGAAGGCCAUCAGAGUUGUUGGCUGGAGUUGCUUGUGGAGACUCAAAAAGAGGACAGAAGGCCCUUCUCUGUUAGGACCAUGGUAGGACUAUUUGUCCAGAACCUGACCAUGUUCCUCAGGAAGGUCACAGAUUUCUUCCUCUUAAAAUAUUUUCGUUCUUCUUUGUUUGCCAUCGCUUUCCUUUAGUUAUUUUGGGAGAGGAAGCUUGACCCACUCUAGAAUGCUGAGCCUUGCAGUUUAAAGAAAGGAUGCUAUUUUGUAGUCCUUAUUAUACUCUUCAGGCAGCAGGGGUAACAUUUUGCCUCU
rnacentral:lncRNA from 1 species